UUUGACUAAAAAUUAUCGUGAGCUUUUCACACUUUCUAGAUUCCUAAACUUCAUAUUUCACUCUCUACCAUCCUCAUCUAAUCUCUCUACUUCAUCUCUGCAAACUUAAUCUCUACGUCGUUCACGCACUCCGAGCUCCAUCAUCGGUCGCCAGUCCAGGCUCCAGCCGCACCCCACCGGUCACGCCACUACCUUCAUGUUACUACGAGAUCCAUCGUUUGGUUCUGCUCUUUGCUCUUUUUUUCUUCGAUUUUUGCAGUUCUCAAUGCCAGCGAUGGAGAUGUCGAUCGGGUUUACAAGUGUGGGAAUGGAUGCAGCUUGUGGAGUUAAAGUAAUCAGAGCCUUUGACAUUUCAGCUUGAGCAUUCCUCAGAAGUUGGAUACUUCUAAAUGUGGAGAUUUUGCCAUGAAUUAACUUGGAUUUGGUCUUGUAGAUGUCUUCAUGGGUAUUCACCAAGUUUUGACAACUUAGUUAAUGAUCUCAGGGGGGCAAGGGCAUACCAAAAUUUGAAGGGAAUAUUGCAUAUCUAGAUGCACUCAUCAAAUAAGACCUUCUUCUCAAGACAAAGGACCUUCAAAGUGCCGACCUCAAUAGUUUUGAUGAACGAAUUAUUAUCCAUCUUUAUGUGCAUAGAAUUGUAUACAUUCCCGUGUCUAGUCUGGUCGUAUUUAAAAA